rnacentral:rRNA from 1 species
GACGAAUGCUGGCGGCGUGCCUAAUACAUGCAAGUCGAGCGGACAGAUGGGAGCUUGCUCCCUGAUGUUAGCGGCGGACGGGUGAGUAACACGUGGGUAACCUGCCUGUAAGACUGGGAUAACUCCGGGAAACCGGGGCUAAUACCGGAUGGUUGUUUGAACCGCAUGGUUCAAACAUAAAAGGUGGCUUCGGCUACCACUUACAGAUGGACCCGCGGCGCAUUAGCUAGUUGGUGAGGUAAUGGCUCACCAAGGCAACGAUGCGUAGCCGACCUGAGAGGGUGAUCGGCCACACUGGGACUGAGACACGGCCCAGACUCCUACGGGAGGCAGCAGUAGGGAAUCUUCCGCAAUGGACGAAAGUCUGACGGAGCAACGCCGCGUGAGUGAUGAAGGUUUUCGGAUCGUAAAGCUCUGUUGUUAGGGAAGAACAAGUACCGUUCGAAUAGG